rnacentral:rRNA from 1 species
UACGGGGGGGCAAGCGUUGUUCGGAAUUACUGGGCGUAAAGGGCGCGUAGGCGGCCUUCUAAGUCAGACGUGAAAUCCCUCGGCUCAACCGAGGAACUGCGUCUGAUACUGGAAGGCUUGAAUCCGGGAGAGGGAUGUGGAAUUCCAGGUGUAGCGGUGAAAUGCGUAGAUAUCUGGAGGAACACCGGUGGCGAAGGCGGCAUCCUGGACCGGUAUUGACGCUG